rnacentral:rRNA from 1 species
UACGUAGGGUGCGAGCGUUAAUCGGAAUUAUUGGGCGUAAAGCGUGCGCAGGCGGUUGUGCAAGACAGAUGUGAAAUCCCCGGGCUCAACCUGGGAACUGCAUUUGUGACUGCAUGGCUAGAGUGCGGCAGAGGGGGAUGGAAUUCCGCGUGUAGCAGUGAAAUGCGUAGAUAUGCGGAGGAACACCGAUGGCGAAGGCAAUCCCCUGGGCCUGCACUGACGCUCAUGCACGAAAGCGUGGGGAGCGAACAGG